UUCACCAAAUUGAAAACUAUCAUGUUUGGGGUGCAAAAUCACUUACAGUUCAGGUAAUUCUGUUAUUAGAGGACUGGGGCAUCCCUGAGAAGGACAACACAGAACAAUGAAAAUUUAAUAGUGUAAUUAUAACCUGCUACAAGGUUGUUGAAAUUCUAAACGUAUUUGUUUACGGGAAAGAAAGUGUGCAGUUGAUUUCAAAGUUUCAGUGAUCAUCUCUGACUAAAAUGACUUUACAGAACACAUAAUAUGAAAGCAGUUAUUUAAAUUAUCAGCUCAGUGUUCUUAAAGGUGGCUUUCUUUUUUAUUUUCCUUUUGGUUACUUUUCUCUUGUAGAGAUAUAGACAUGAAGAAGAAAUUUAUGAAGUUUCUAUUGACAUGAUGAUUUUAUUUUAAUGCUGAUGCAUAUGCUCAUCAUGCAGAGGUGUUGAGAGAGCAUUUGAAGCCUGUUCAAGAAUGGACACUGUUCAGGAAUGGACAGUUGCAUUAGAAAGACUGCCUGCAAAGAAGAAACACCUCUCAAGUACUAGUCUAGCUUAGUCUUUCAUUAAUAGUCUAUGGAUAACCAUGUCUGAACACACACUUCUUGUGUUUUCUUUGGGACAUGCAUAAUGAAUGACUGAUUUUAGUGGUUCCACUGUGUAUGCAGACAUGCUUGUUUGUAUAUUUGUAAUAGUUACACUUGAUAUCCUCAAUAAUAUAUUUGUGUAUGGAAUUAAGAGUCAUUAAGGCUUAUGUUUUCAAUUUUAGUGUUUUUAUAUCUGGUUUGAAAAUUGGUUGGCAAGACAUAGGAAAUACUGUUCCUCACUUGGUCAGAGCACAGUGGUAUGCACACCUUCUAGCAGACACUGACUGGUAGGACAAUGGCUUUAAGGACCUUGAAUGUUUGACAGUCCCAAAGGAUGCUAGAAGUCUGUCUCCAUGUUGUCUGAGGCUAGAAGGCCUCUGGAGUUGCUGCCAACUCUAUUUUAAUUGUCAAUAAAUUAUAUUUUCCUCAA